AAGGAUCAUUAUUGAAUGAACUUGGCGUGGUUGUUGCUGGCCCUCUCGGGGGCAUGUGCACACCCGCCAUCUCCAUCUCUCCACCUGUGCACCUCUUGUAGACUGGAAUAGACUUUCCGAGGCAACUCGGUCGGGAGGAAUGCUGUCGCUUUGCGUCGGCUUUCUUUGCACUUCCAAGCCUAUGUUUUUCAUAUACCCGUAGUAUGUAACAGAAUGUAUCAUUUGGGCCUCAGUGCCUAUAAACCAUAUACAACUUUCAGCAACGGAUCUCUUGGCUCUCGCAUCGAUGAAGAACGCAGCGAAAUGCGAUAAGUAAUGUGAAUUGCAGAAUUCAGUGAAUCAUCGAAUCUUUGAACGCACCUUGCGCUCCUUGGUAUUCCGAGGAGCAUGCCUGUUUGAGUGUCAUUUAAUUCUCAACCUUAUUAGCUUUUGCUGAUAAUGGCUUGGAUGUGGGGGUUCCCUUUUGCUGGCUUCUUUUCACAGAGGUCAGCUCCCCUGAAAUGCAUUAGCUGGUGCCCCGCGUGGACUGUCUAUUUGGUGUGAUAAUUAUCAACGCCGUGGAUGUCUGCAAUUGGUUUUGGCACUGCUUCUAACUGUCUGUUCAUUUGGACAACACAUGACAAUUUGACCUCAAAUCAGG
rnacentral:rRNA from 1 species